rnacentral:lncRNA from 1 species
UCUAUCAGAAUGCGUUUUUUUUAUAUAAUUUUCCUACAGAAUAUAUUCGGAAAUUCUUACGCAGGAAAAUCUUAUCCUACAUUAUUAUAUGUCAUCUAGGUGAGCAAAUCCUCUACAUGAUGAAAAUAGGCAAGAUUCUGUGUGCCAUGUUCAUGGUGCUAAUAUCAGUUUUAGCAGGAACAGCUAGUGGAAUGCCACCUCGAGCACGACUUGAAUUUAGCAUAUUAAAACAAAUUUCUACACUAAAAACAGUAAAUUCCAAAAAUGUUAUUUAGUUUCUGGUUGAGAACAGAAUCAUUUGCUAAGGGACAUUCCGUUUUGAUUUUGCCCAAGAGUUUAGUAAUUUUGUGAUUUUACUUUUAAAAAAAAAUAUGUUAAAUUGUAAUUUUAAAUACAGCACAUUUUGCUUUCCAAACUAUUAUUUAAUGUUCAAAGUUUUUCGUAUAUGAUGAUGAAGCUAGGUUAUAUAUUCGAAAAUCCAAUGCAAGAAAAUCUUAUCCUACAUUAUUAUAUGUCAUUUAGAUGAGCAAAUCCUCUGCAAGAUGAAAAUAUUCAAUAUUUUGUGUGCGAUGUUCAUAGUGCUACUAUCAGUUUUAGCAGGAACAGCUAGUCGACGUCGUCUAGCACCACCACCAGGACGUCUUGGAUUUAACAGAUUAAAACGAGAUGCUAAUGCCAACACUCUAGAUAGAAUGGUAAGGUUUCUGGUAAUUACGUAAAGAAAAAUUAUUCCUUAUAUUGAGUUUUAAAAUAACAACAACUACUACUACUACUACUACUACUACUACUACUACUACUACUACUACAUGUACUACUAUUACUACUACUACUUUUACUACAACAACAACAUAAUGAUAAUAAUAAUAAUAAUAAUAAUAAUAAUAAUAAUAAUAAUAAUAAUAAUAAUAAUAAUAAUAAUAAAUGAUGAAAUAAUAAUGAUAAUAAUAACAACAUAAUCAAUAAUAAUCUUAUUUUUUUCAGGUAAAAAGAGAUUAGUUGGUCUGUGGCACAACAAACUGGAUCUUUCAUCAUUAAAUAAAAGAAGUUGAACUUAAUUUUA